rnacentral:rRNA from 1 species
AAAUCCUCGGGGUGUCCCCAGGGAUAACGUAAGGGAAAAUAAUGAUGUCACCUUACUAUUAGUGUCGUCCAAGUACUCGUGCCAGAAGACUCGGUAACGCGAGAGACGCAAACGUUAAUCCUCUUGAUCAGGCGUAAAGGGUUUGUAGGCUGUUUUAAGUAUCUUUUUUUUUAGUUUACUGUUUUAAUGUCAAAUUAGUACCUAGUACACAAGAGACUAGGUAAGGCUUUCUUUUCAAUGUUAAAGAUUAAUUUUAAAAAACCUUUAAUUUCACAUUAAAUUCUUUAAAAAAAGAUCAAUUAAAUCUAGAAUCUAAAAUAGGUUAAAACAAUACUUGUGGUAGGUGUGUGAACUAUAAAUAAUAAGCAGAGUGUUAAUGGCGAAGGCUUUUAUCCGCUAAAGAUUGACGCUGAGAAACGAAGGUGGGGAAAGAAAAAAGGAUUAGAGACCCUUGUAUCCCUCACUGUAAACGAUGAAUGGUAGUCACUAGAUAGAAAUAAUCUUGAGGCAAUGUUAACACGAAAACCAUUCCGCCUUGUUAGUACGACUGCAAAGUUGAAAACAAAAAAAUUAGUCGG